CCUUUGUCUCCUCCCACCUCAGCAUGAUCUUGGCGCAGAGGAGGGUUGCAAAAGCCAAAACAGAGCCCCAGUCUGUGGAAAGUGCUUGAGGGUCCCAAGCUGUAGGGCACUGGAGAAGAGGCUAGUUCAUGCAAUUGGAAACAAGGAGGAGCCAGGCCGUCAGGUGAAGUUUCUCCAGUUGUGGAUGGAGGAUGCAACUGUCGCGCUAGGAGAGGAGGUCUGGUCUCAUCAGGAGAAUUCUCGGAAGGCGGAUUGACAUGUGAAGCAGGGGAAGAGGUUCAGCACUGCCCCGAGUUCUAUCUUCAGCCGAGGAUGGCUCAGAGGGAACUCAGGGGGGGUCGGAAGGCAUGUGCGCGAAACAGAGUCCAAUGAUGACGCGAGACACCAAUUGCGCACACGUGUCCCUACCGGGCACUGCUACUGAAGAUCUCCAAUCAACGGCACCGGGAUGCACCGACACCUGAAGUGGAGUACCCACAUGGACACCACUCAAAGAAGAAGAUUUGUUUUCAAACAAAAGGCUAGCAUUAACUUUUGGUAGCUGAAGAGCAUAGUGAGUAGAAAAGCUUAAUCCUCUUUCAUGAUUCAUUACAAGGAUUUUAGCAUUGUAUUUGUGUCAUUGGAAAGGAGGGCAUACAUUGGUUUUGGCCUUUGCCUUUGUCCUACUGGUAACAUUAUAGCUGUACAUUAAGUGGGAAGUUUUAGUACCAGUUGUGCAGAAUUUGACUAAAUUGAUAAUGAGAUAGCAUUUGACAGAGCUAGACCUGAGUAGUCGUCUGUUAGUCUAUAAGGUGCCACAGGACUCCUUGCUGCUUUUACAGACCUGAGUAGGCUGACCACCUAUGUGACAUUGUGAAGAUAUUAAAGACUCCCCCUAUUUUCACUGUAUUCACUUGCCCCAGUUCUCAGGUCUGGCCAAUGCAGGCCCUGAGAGGAAGGGACAAAGUGGCUUUAUACCUUUGUAACUUCCCAAUCCUGAGCUGAACAGGGCUGUUUUUGGCUCCUGUUACAAUUUAGGAAAGCCUCAGCCACAUGUGGCUGCCUUGGCCCAAAGGGGCCAUUCCAGCAGGCAGGAUUGCCAGAAAGUGGCAGCUGUACUUUGACCAGGCACCUUUUUUCUUCAACAUGCUUUCUCUGGUGGGGACCAGGAUAUGGAUGUUGUAGACCUGCUGUGCCCAAUCAGAGAUACCAUUAAUACAAGGGGAUUUCCCAGGUAACAUGUCCAACUAAUUUUUCCAGCUGUUUUAGACCAUCAAAUCAUAGGGGAGAACUGUGACCAGUAUCUGUUAUAUGGGGGUUAAAAUAUUUUUAUCAUCUACAUAGUCUAAAGUGGACCUCCCCAACUAUGAGACUAAAUGUACAAUGAAUAUUUCUGGUAUGGGUAUAUGUCACACGUCAUGAUAUAUAUAUUUUUUAUUUCCUAGAAGCAACAGUUCUUAUGGAGAUCUUUUGGGUUCUUUUUGGCCUUUUGCUAGAUCUCUCUCACUUUUAGUGAUCAUAUUGGGUGUAAUGGCAUAUCUUCUCUGAGAGAUUAUUGGUACAGUGGGAGCAGAAGCAAAGAGAUAGGUCAAAGUGUGCACAAAGUUUGACUACUACAGUGUCAUGCUGGUUGCCAGAUUUGGCAGGAGCUGAUGGUACUUGAAAAGUAGGCCCUGGGCUUUGCAAUAUUUCCUUGAAGCAGGAGCACUGGUCAAAUACAUCUGGUGAAGAGAUACAUCAUUCUGUUUUAGACUGAGCUUUACUCGUGUCCUGCACAAAUCUGGUUUUGCCGCACUAUUUAUUUCUGUAAUGUAUUAACCUUGAA